ACCUGCUGCCGUUGUCGCCGCCGCCGUGGCUGGAUGGGGGGCCGAGGCCAGCCAGUGGCACCCAGAAGAAAGAGACGCGGCGGCGGCGACGCCGACACCCGCCGGACGCGUGUCCUGAUCCUCCCACGAGCUCAAGGAGGCGGCGGCGAGGCCCGGCCCCCGAGGUCCCUGGUGUAGAGGAGCCACCGUUGCCGCCGCGACUGGGUCUCCCCGGGGUCCGGGAGCCCCCUUUGGUCUCGUUCAGACUCCAGACCCCCCCGCGCUGCGCCAUGUUCAAGAAACUGAAGCAGAAGAUCAGCGAGGAGCAGCAGCAGCUCCAGCAGGCGCUGGCCUCUACUCAGGCUUCUUCCAGUUCAACGCCAACAAGAAUCAGGAGCAGGACAUCUUCCUUCACAGAGCAACUUGAUGAAGAUACACCCAACAAAGAACUACUAGCCGGGAUGAUAGCAGAGCCUGCUUUUCUCUCUGAGUAUACUAUCUUUGCUUUGGAUUCCUCCAAACAGCCUAAAACACAGACUGACAGUGUGAAUGCAUCUGUUCAAGCCACAAAAUAUCCUGACAGUGUUAAUGGAAGUGAGCCGACAACUCCUCAGGCAGGUGACAUGCAGCCAUUUACACAGAAACUCCAGCUCCGGGUACUUUCUAUGGAGUCUUUGUUUCGAAGUCCAAUAAAGGAAUCUCUAUUUCGGUCUUCCUCUAAAGAGUCUUUGGUACGAACGUCUUCCAGAGAGUCCCUGAAUCGCCUUGACCUAGACUCUUCUGCCACCUUUGAUCCACCCUCUGAUGUAGAGAGUGAGGCUGAAGACUCACUAGGGAAUUUGGACAGUCUCAACAAAGAACAUUUGAUACAGUGCUUGCGAAGAAUGGAGCGAAGGUCGAAUGGCUAUAAAGUAAAGUAUUCUGAGCUUGUUACAGCUUAUCAGGUUCUUCAGAGAGAGAAGAAAAAGCUACAAGGCAUAUUGAGUCAGAGUCAAGACAAAGCACUUCGGAGAAUUGCAGAAUUAAGAGAGGAACUCCAGAUGGAUCAGCAAGCAAAGAAACAUCUCCAAGAGGAGUUUGAUGCUUCUUUAGAAGAAAAAGAUCAGUAUAUCAGUGUUCUCCAGACUCAGGUUUCUUUGCUGAAACAAAGGCUGCGAAAUGGUCCUAUGAAUGAUGAUUCACUCCCUCCAGUGGGGCCCCGGGCUGAAGCUGUCACUAAAGAGGAUGAAGAGAGCGACGCUGAACCCAUAGUGGAAGAUGGAGCUUCUACUAAAACUCUGGAAACACUUCAGCAAAGAGUUAAGCGGCAAGAACACUUACUGCAGCGUUGUAAGAAGACAAUCCAGUCAUACAAGGAACAGUGUGCCCUUUUAACUAGUGAAAAAGAGGCACUGCAAGAGCAGCUAGAUGAAAGACUUCAAGAACUAGAAAAGAUGAAGGAGCUUCAUAUGGCUGAGAAGACUAAACUUAUCACUCAGUUGCGUGAUGCAAAGAACUUAAUUGAACAGCUUGAACAAGAUAAGGGAAUGGUUAUAGCAGAAGCAAAACGGCAGAUGCAUGAAACCCUGGAAAUGAGAGAAGAAGAAAUUGCCCAACUUCGUAGUCGCAUCAAACAGAUGAUGAGCCAGGGAGAGGAAUUACGGGAACAGAAAGAAAAAUCUGAAAGAGCUGCUUUUGAAGAACUUGAAAAAGCCUUGAGUACAGCCCAGAAAACAGAAGAAGCACGGAGAAAACUGCAGGCAGAAAUGGAUAAGCAAAUAAAAGCUAUUGAGAAAACAAGUGAGGAAGAACGCAUCCAUCUUCAACAGGAAUUAAGUCGGGUGAAGCAGGAAGUUGUUGAUGUAAUGAAAAAAUCCUCAGAAGAAAUUGCUAAGCUACAGAUGCAUCACAAAGAGGAGUUAGGCAGGAAAGAGCAGGAACUGACCAAGAAGUUUCAGACCCAAGAAGGGAAACUUCAGGAGCAAAUGAAAGUAGCUCUUGAAAAAAGUCGAUCAGAAUAUUUGAAGAUUACUGAAGAAAAAGAGCAGCAAGAAUCUUUGGCUCUCGAAGAAUUAGAGUUGCAGAAAAAAGCAAUUAUCACAGAGAGUGAAAAUAAACUUCAAGAGCUUCAACAAGAAGCAGAGACUUACAGAACUAGAAUUCUUGAAUUAGAAAGUUCUUUGGACAAAAGUUUGCAAGAAAGCAGAAGGCAAUCAGAAGAUUUGGCAGUCCUUUUGGAAGCCGAAAAAAAUAAACACAAUAAGGAAAUUACAAUCAUGGUUGAAAAACACAAGACUGAAUUGGCGAGCCUGCGGCAUCAGCAGGAUAACCUUUGGACUGAAAAACUAAGAGUCUUAGAGCAACAGCAUCACAUGGAAAUGGAAAACCUUAGAGAAGAGCAUGAGCAAGAGAAAACUACAUUGUUGAAAGACAAAGAAAUUCUCUUCCAGGCCCACAUACAAGAGAUGAAUGAAAAAACUUUAGAAAAGCUUGAUGUGAAGCAAACAGAGCUAGAAUCAUUGUCGUCAGAACUUUCAGAAGUAUUAAAAGCUCGUGACAAACUAGCAGAGGAACUUUCUAUACUACAAGAUCAAGCAGCUAAAGUCAAGCAGGAGUUAGAAGCCAAAUUGGAUGAGCAGAAAAGUCACCAUCAGCACCAGGUGGACAGUAUCAUUAAAGAGCAAGAGAUGUCUGUCCGGAGAGCUGAGAAGGCAUUAAAGGAUGAAAUUCAUCAACUUGGGCUUCUUCUGAAGGAAAAGAACAAGCACUUGGAAGAACACCAGGCUCAUGUGGAAAGUUUAGAGAUGGAUACGAAAAGGUACAAAGAGGAACUUCAGCAGGCAUCUGCAAAGCUGGAUCAUUUCCAGUCGUUCGAGAGCACCUCACAUGAACAGACACAGGCAUAUGAGGAACAGCUGGCCCAAUUGCAGCAGAAGUUGUUGGAUUUGGAAACAGAAAACAAUGUCCUUGUGAAACAGGUAGCUGAUGUUGAAAUGCAAAAGAGAGAUACUUGUACUGAAUUGGACACUCAUAAAACUCAGGCAAAGGACUUAAUGCAGCAACUCGAUAAAAAGAACAGUGAGAUGGAAGAAAAAGUAAAAUCUUUAACUCAACUCUAUGAGACUCAACUCAAAGACAGUAAUAUAGAGCAGGAACAGGCAAAGCAGAUCUUGAUGGAAAAAGAUAAUAUUAUUUUACAAAUGAGAGAAGAACAGGAUAAGGAAAUUGAAAUACUCAAACAGAUGUUGUCAGCCAAGGAAGACAGUAUUAGUAUUUUGCAUGAGGAAUAUGAAACCAAACUUAAAAAUCAAGAAAAAAAGAUGGAAAAAAUUAAGCAGAAGGCAAAGGAAAUGCAAGAAACAUUAAAGAAGAAAUUGUUGGACCAGGAAGCCAAACUUAAAAAAGAACUUGAAAACACUGCCCUCGAGCUCAGUCAGAAAGAAAAACAGUUUAAUGCCAAACUUGUAGAAAUGGCACAGGCUAACUCUGCUGGAAUCAGUGAUGCAGUGUCCAGGCUGGAAACCAACCAGAAGGAACAAAUAGAAAGUCUUACUGAGGUGCAUCGGCGAGAACUCGAUGAUGUUAUAUCAUUCUGGGAAAAGAAGCUUGGUCAGCAAGCUGAAGAACUUCAAGAAAAGCACGAGAUCCAGUUACAGGAAAAAGAGCAAGAGGUAGAAGAACUGAAGCAAAAGAUCAUCGUAUUUGGUUGUCACAAAGAAGAGAUGAGCAAGGAAAUAGCAUGGCUGAAGGAAGAAGGGGUUAAGCAGGAUACUAUAGUCAAGGAAUUACAGGAACAGUUGAAUCAGAAAUCUGCUCAUAUGAAUUCUUUCUCGCAAAAUGAAACUAAACUGAAAGCCCAGCUUGAAAAGCUGGAACUUGACUUGCAUCAUUCUCUGAAGGAAAAUGCUUCUCAACAAGAUCAUAUGGUUGAAUUGAAGAUGCUGGCAGAAAAAGAUAAACUUAAGGUUUCUGAGCUGACUGACAAGUUGAAGACCACAGAUGAAGAAUUCCAGAGUUUGAAAUCUUCACAUGAAAGAAGUAAGAAGAGCCUAGAAGACAAAAGCUUGGAAUUUAAAAAACUGUCUGAGGAUCUAGCAAUUCAGCUGGAUACUUACUCUAAGAAAACUGAAGCCUUAUUACAAGCCAAAACAAAUGAGCUAAUCGACAUUAGUAGUAGUAAGAUUAGCGCCAUUCUUUCUAGAAUUUCUCACUGUCAGCACCACACAACUAAAGUUAGAGAAGUGCUACUAACUAAAAGUUGCAAAGUUUCUGAAUUAGAAGCACAACUCAAACAGUUAACACAAGAGCAGAAUACACUAAGUAGUUCUUUUCAACAAGCUACCCAUCAGUUAGAAGAAAAAGAAAAUCAGAUUAAGCGCAUGAAGGCCGAUAUUGAAGGCCUAGUAACAGAAAAAGAAGCCUUACAGAAGGAAGGAGGCAAUCAUCAACAGGUUGCCUCUGAAAAGGAGUCUUGUAUCACACAGUUGAAGAAAGAAUUAUCAGAAAACAUCAAUGCUGUCACACUGAUGAAAGAAGAGCUCCAAGAAAAAAAGUCUGAGAUCAGCAAUCUGAGUAAACAACUAACUGAUUUGAAUGCUCAGCUUCAGAAUAGUAUCAGCCUCACUGAAAAAGAAGAAGCCAUUUCAUCACUAAGUAAGCGAUAUGAUGAAGAACAAUGCCAACUGCUACACCAGGUGAAAGAUUUAUCUUUGAAAGUUGAAACUCUGACUAAAGAGAAAACAUCUGCUCUGGAACAGGAAAAUCACCUGUCCGACAGGUUCUCAGAAUGGAAGAAGAAAGCACAGUCAAAAUUCACAAAUUAUCAAAAUGCUAUUAAAGACUUGCAGAUGCAGCUUGAGUUAAAAACGAAGGAAGCGAGUGAAAAUGCUAAGCAGUUGGCUUUAUUGAAGGAAAACCUUGAUCAGCAAAAUAAAAAAUUUGAGUGUUUGAAGGGUGAAAUGGAAGAUAAGAAGACCAAGAUGGAGAAAAAGGAGUGCAAUUUGGAGAUUGAGUUAAAAACUCAAACAGCAAGAAUUUUAGAGUUAGAGGAGUGUAUUUCUCAGAAAGUAAUUGAAAUUGAGUCCCUAAAUGAAGGCCUUACAAAUUACAAACAGCAAAAGGAGAUUGAACAGAAUGAAAUGGCUCAGAAACUUCAACACAUUCAAGAGUCAGGAGAAGAAAAAGACAAUAGAGUUAAAGAAACCGAAGACAAAGUUUUAGGACUUGAAAAUCAAGUGUCUUCCAUGAAAUCUGAACUUGAAACUAAGCAGAAAGAAUUGGAACUUGUAAAUUCCAGUAUGAAAAGGAAAGAGGAGGAAUUCAAGACACUGGAAAGCAGGCUUGAGUUGGAAAGUGCUACAAAAUUAGCAGAACUAAAGAAAAAGGCUGAACAAAAAAUCGCUGCCAUUAAGAAGCAGUUGUUGUCACAAAUGGAAGAGAAAGAACAACAGUAUAAAAAAGAUACAGAAAGCCAAUUGAGUGAGCUAAAUACAAAACUGAAAGAAAGAGAAAGAGAAAUUCACACCUUGGAAGAAAAACUUAGAUCAGUGGAAAGCUCACUAAAAUCAGAAACAUCAGUUGUACCCAGCUCAACAAAAGAUGUGGGAGCAUAUACUGAGGAAGCAGCAGCAGAUUCCCAAGAAUGUGUACAGAAGGCUUGUGAAGAGACAAUUAGUGCUUUACAAAAAAAUUUAAUGGAAAAAGAUAAGCUAUUGCAGAAGCUAGAACAGGAACAAGAAGAGAUAAUUUCUUCUCAUUCCGAAAUGCAGUGUAACUACCAGGGGCUCUUAAGAAAGAUAGAACUUGCUGAAGCAAAGCAGCAUGAGGAUCAAGUUACGAUAAAUCAUCUUCAGGAAGAGCUCAAAUUAAAAAACAAGAACUAUCCCUUCAUAGUAUCUCAGCAUGUGGAUGAAGAGGGAGGUAAGAAUAACAGAAAGGCAAAGCAAAACUUGGACAAUGUGAUUGAUGAUGUCCAGAAAAGCCUUCAGGAGAAGGAACAGAUCUUGGAACAAAAGAUAAAAGAAUUGGAUUCUUGCUUAAUAAGAGAGAAAGAAGCACACAGAGUGGAAGUUUUGAAAGAAAGUGCUGAAGAAAAGUUCAAAUCACAUGUCCAGCCCAAAUUGCUCAGUAACAUGGAGGCCGAACGCAGUGACCUGGCGUUCAGAUUAGCAGGGGCAGAGCGGGAGAAGCAGAAGCUGGGCAAGGAGAUUGUUAGAUUGCAGAAAGACCUUCGAAUAUUGCGGAAAGAACAUCAGCAAGAACUGGAUGUGAUAAAGAAAGAAUAUGAACAAGAAAUGGAAGAGAAAAUCAAACAGGAGCAGGAGGAUCUUGAGCUGAAGCACAACUCCACAUUGAAACAGCUGAUGAGGGAGUUUAAUACCCAGCUGGCACAAAAGGAGCAGGAGCUGGAAAUGACCAUAAAGGAAACAAUCAAUAAAGCCCAGGAAGUUGAGGCUGAACUUUUGGAAAGUCAUCAAGAAGAGACAAGUCAAUUACAUAAAAAAAUUGCAGAGAAAGAAGAUGAUCUAAAAAGAACAGCUCAAAGAUAUGAAGAAAUCCUUGAUGCUCGAGAAGAAGAAAUGACGGCGAAAGUAGUGGACCUGCAGGCACAGCUUGAGGAGCUGCAGAAGAAGUAUCAGCAGAGAUUGCAGCGAGAGGAGAACCCUGACACUGAUAAUGUAACAAUUAUGGAACUACAGACACAACUAGCACAGAAGACUACACUAAUCAGUGAUUCAAAGUUGAAAGAGCAAGAGUUCAGAGAACAGAUUCAUAAUUUGGAAGACCGUUUGAAGGAAUAUGAAAAGAGUAUAUGUGCAACAACUGUGAGAACACAUUACAAAGGUGGCAAUUUAUACCAUACUGAUGUCUCACAGUUUGGAGAACCUACUGAGUUUGAGUAUUUGCGGAAAGUGCUCUUUGAGUAUAUGAUGGGUCGUGAGACUAAGACCAUGGCAAAGGUUAUCACUACAGUACUGAAGUUCCCUGAUGAUCAGGCUCAGAAAAUCCUGGAAAGAGAAGAUGCUCGGCUGGUGGUGAUUUUUUUUUUAAAUGUUAAAGAAAAAUACUGCCAACAAUCCAGGAGCAUAUGCCAGCCAGAAGGCUUUCAUCAUCUUCAUCCUCCAACCUGUUUCCAACUUGACAGAUCAUCUUUGUUAGUGGUGAAUACGCCCAGUAUACUUCACCUCGCAGUGGUAUCUUCUGAGUAACCCAUCAGUCUGUGCUUAGUUAGCAUGUGAGCUGCCUUUGAAGUUAAAGUUAUGAGAUAGAGAUGAAAAACGAUUUCUCAGCUAAAAGUGAAGUGACAUAUUUCAUGAAUCCAGAAUUUUAACUGAUAUAAGACCUCCUGAGAGUCAAGACUGGUCUGAAAUAUCAUGGCUCCGAUCUUCAUCUUGAAGAUGUGGGGAGAAUGAUGUUGGACAAGUUUGGACACCUGCACGUUUGCUGACCUUUGGGAAUGACGCUAUUACAUAGGGCCUUUCAUGUAGCCAGAAGCCAAGAAAAAUCUGACAUUGGCCCACAAAUACAUUGAAGACUCCCUUUUAAAUAGAUUUUAUCAGUGGAGAAAUCGUGAUAGGUUUUUUUUCUUUACAUUUAUUGUUGGGAAAAGUUUUAUGUUAUUUAAAGGAAAUUUUGAAUAACUUAACCUGAUUUAUGGGCUCAUUUAAUGUUCCUUUCUUCCAUUCUUCUUGUCCCUCUUUUUAGAGAACUGUUUGCCUUUCCUAUUUAUUUCUAGGGUGAUUUAAAAAAAAAAAAAGACUUGUGCAAUACAUUUUGAGGUGAAACUUAGUGGAUUUUUCUGAUAAAUUAGAGCAAUUAAUUGACUAUUUUAUCCAGAUUGAUUUGUUGAAUAUUUGCUAAAGACCAGUUCUUUCAGCUGACAUAAGAUAUAUCCAGACUGCUGUACCUCAUUGUUUACUUAGCUUUUGUACUUAUAUUUUUCAGAGGAAAAGAUACUACUGUAAAUUGUAAAUAGUCAAUAAAUAACUAUUGUAUGCAAAUCUGUGGCUAUUGGCAAUGUUAUCUUGGAGAAAUAAAUAAAGUUUAUUUACUGUAUAAAAA